AGGGCAGUGGCUCAAUUGGUAGAGCAGCGGUCUCCAAAACCGCAGGUUGCAGGUUCGAGUCCUGUCUGCCCUG
rnacentral:tRNA from 2 species